UCCUUAAAGAUUGUAUUCUUCAAGGGCUUCAAUUAUUUAAAGCAAUGAAGACAAGGGCAGGCCCUACCCUACCCAAGGGAAUAUGUUCUAAAGAGUGCAUGUAAAAGCUGUGGUUCCACUGAGUGCAUGAGUGCCCUUGGCAAAGGGCACUUCACCCCAACUCAUCAGGGUGGCUGUUCAAAGCCCGACAGCCCCUCCCCCUUUCCCUUAGGUGUAGAUAAUUUCUGUGUAUCCAAAAAACCGUGGUUCCACUAGAAGAAAGCAUAAUCUGUGAGGGUGGGAGCUGAUGAAAAAUGAAAGGGCUUGUCUGAUGAUUAACAAGGCUUUGGAGAAUAGUUCCAUGGUAAACUAUUCAUUUAUGUGCAGGGUCUCUUUUUUUUUAUUUCUAUUUUUUUUUGUUUGGUUCUUUUCCCCUCUAUUAUUUUUCUCCUUCUUAUUGAGGAUAAGACAGUAGGUAUUUAAAUUUAUUGAUUUUAGAA